GAUGAACGCUAGCUACAGGCUUAACACAUGCAAGUCGAGGGGCAGCAUUCCAGUUUGCUUGCAAACUGGAGAUGGCGACCGGCGCACGGGUGAGUAACACGUAUCCAACCUGCCGAUAACUCGGGGAUAGCCUUUCGAAAGAAAGAUUAAUACCCGAUGGCAUAAUAGAACCGCAUGGUUUGAUUAUUAAAGAAUUUCGGUUAUCGAUGGGGAUGCGUUCCAUUAGGCAGUUGGUGGGGUAACGGCCCACCAAACCUUCGAUGGAUAGGGGUUCUGAGAGGAAGGUCCCCCACAUUGGAACUGAGACACGGUCCAAACUCCUACGGGAGGCAGCAGUGAGGAAUAUUGGUCAAUGGACGAGAGUCUGAACCAGCCAAGUAGCGUGAAGGAUGACUGCCCUAUGGGUUGUAAACUUCUUUUAUAUGGGAAUAAAGUGGUCCACGUGUGGAUUUUUGUAUGUACCAUAUGAAUAAGGAUCGGCUAACUCCGUGCCAGCAGCCGCGGUAAUACGGAGGAUCCGAGCGUUAUCCGGAUUUAUUGGGUUUAAAGGGAGCGUAGGUGGACAGUUAAGUCAGUUGUGAAAGUUUGCGGCUCAACCGUAAAAUUGCAGUUGAUACUGGCUGUCUUGAGUACAGUAGAGGUGGGCGGAAUUCGUGGUGUAGCGGUGAAAUGCUUAGAUAUCACGAAGAACUCCGAUUGCGAAGGCAGCUCACUGGACUGCAACUGACACUGAUGCUCGAAAGUGUG
rnacentral:rRNA from 1 species